GAAGCAGUGAGGACAGCCAGAGGUCACUCUUAUCACCAUCUUGAGUUGGUGGGUUUUAGCUGACUUAUUUACUGCAACCUGUUUUUGAUCAGCAAGAUCUUUAUGACCUGUAUCUUGUGCCAACCUCCUAUCUCAUCCUAGGCUGACCAUGGAAAGACCUGGAGAAAAUGCUGUAUGGGCAGGAGAUUGGUGCAUGUAAAAUGCCGAUGGAAAACAUCCUGGAGGUAAGAGAGGAAGCAGAAAAGCCAGCAGAGCAGGCUGAGACCUGGCGUGAGAUGGGCUGUUAUAAAAACCGAAGGAGACUGUGCUUUGGAAAAUGCUUGCAAAAGAUGAAGUGCUACAUGUGUGUAAAAUAAUUUUCCAGGAAUAUCCCCAAAGUUUUUGGGCUGGUGUAUCAUAUAAUUUCUCUCAGUAAUUGUGUGGAAGAAAUACUUUAUAAAUGCAUAGAUAUAGAUAGAUAUUUUUAUAUAAUACACGCAGUGAUGGUCUGAUGAGAAAAAUGAUCUACCCUGAAUGUUUUCUCUUUUAGUAGCACUAGCAAUCUUUCUAUGCAUGAAUCUUUUAAAACCAUGCUACAAACCUCUGUUUCAUUUAGAAUAUUAUGUCUUUUUUGACUUAUCCCAAACUCUAAAAUGGCCAAAUGGGGAUGAAAUAUGCCAG
rnacentral:lncRNA from 1 species